rnacentral:sRNA from 1 species
AAUGAAAGGAAAAUUGAAUUUCCCAAAUAUAAGCAAUAAUUACAUGUUCUCUAUACAGAUGACUGUAAAGAGAAGCGUGUGUGCUGAUGAUCCAAAGGAAUCAGCAUUAGAAGAAACUCAAGAUUACCUUUAUCAAACUUUCAAUGCUGUGGGAGCUGCGGUUGAAGCUGAAAUUGAAGCAUGAGCACACCCGAAACCAGUUCCAGGCUGUUGGAAGAAGUCUAUGCAUCAAAUGAAGACACUGGAAAGCAAGGAAAGC